CCUGCUGUUGGCAGGGGUGUGUGUGUGUGUGUGUGUGUGUGUGUGUAUGCGCGCGCGCGAGCGCGCAUGCACAC
rnacentral:pre_miRNA from 14 species